GAUGAACGCUGGCUACAUGCUUAACACAUGCAAGUCGUGCGGCAGCGGAUAGUUAGCUUGCUAAGUAUGCCAGCGACCGGCGGACGGGUGAGAAACGCGUACCCAACCUGCCCGUCACACAGGACUAGGCUUGCGAGAGCAAAAUUACUGUCAAAUUGUCGCACUUUUAUGCAUGUUAGAUUAAGUCAAUCCUUCGGGCGGUUAUGGAUGGCGGUGCGUCGCAUUAGGUAGUUGGUGAGGUAACGGCCUACCAAGCCUUCGAUGGGUAGGUGUUCUGAGAGGAAGGUCACCCACAGUGGAACUGAGAUACGGUCCAACCUCCUACGGGAGGCAGCAGUGAGGAAUAUUGGUGAAUGGGCGAGAGACUGAACCAGCCAAGUAGCGUGCGGGAUGAAUGCCCUUGUGGUCGUAAACCGCUUUUAUCAGUGAAUAAAGUGCACCACGUGUGGUGUCAUUGCAGGUAGCUGAAGAAAAAGGACCGGCUAAUUCCGUG
rnacentral:rRNA from 1 species